GCUGGCGGCGUGCCUAACACAUGCAAGUCGAACGGGAAUCUUCGGAUUCUAGUGGCGGACGGGUGAGUAACGCGUAAGAAUCUAACUUCAGGACGGGGACAACAGUUGGAAACGACUGCUAAUACCCGAUGUGCCGCAAGGUGAAAACUAAUUGGCCUGAAGAAGAGCUUGCGUCUGAUUAGCUAGUUGGUGGGGUAAGAGCCUACCAAGGCGACGAUCAGUAGCUGGUCUGAGAGGAUGAGCAGCCACACUGGGACUGAGACACAGCCCAGACUCCUACGGGAGGCAGCAGUGGGGAAUUCUCCGCAAUGGGCGAAAGCCUGACGGAGCAACGCCGCGUGAGGGAGGAAGGUCUCUGGAUUGUAAACCUCUUUUCUCAAGGAAGAAGUUCUGACGGUACUUGAGGAAUCAGCCUCGGCUAACUCCGUGCCAGCAGCCGCGGUAAUACGGGGGAGGCAAGCGUUAUCCGGAAUUAUUGGGCGUAAAGCGUCCGCAGGUGGUCAGCCAAGUCUGCCGUCAAAUCAGGUUGCUUAACGACCUAAAGGCGGUGGAAACUGGCAGACUAGAGAGCAGUAGGGGUAGCAGGAAUUCCCAGUGUAGCGGUGAAUGCGUAGAGAUUGGGAAGAACAUCGGUGGCGAAAGCGUGCUACUGGGCUGUAUCUGACACUCAGGGACGAAAGCUAGGGGACGAAAGGGAUUAGAUACCCCUGUAGUCCUAGCCGUAACGAUGGAUACUAGGCGUGGCUUGUAUCGACCCGAGCAGUGCCGAAGCUAACGCGUUAAGUAUCCGCCU
rnacentral:rRNA from 1 species